CGCGGGGCAGGGCCGGGGCCGCAGAGAGGGUUCCCCCGCUGACCCCCGAGCCUUCCCCACGAGGCUCCGUCCGGCCCCGGUGUCCCCUGGUGCCCCGAGGACAGCGGGGUCCGAGGGCUGCCGGACUCUGUUCCCGGCUGCGCCCAAGCUUGGGCAGCGCCCGCAGGCCCCGCGAACACCGGUCUGCCUCUCUGGGGAAACCCUGGGAUUCGUCCGCCUGCUUCGGGGCUCCUUAGGCAGGGCCGGGGGGCAAUCCCGCACCCGCGCAGGACAGAGAUGCGGUGCACAGCCCCGAAAGGGAUGGCGCGGGGGGAAGGCCAGGGGAGCGGGGAACGCGCAAACAGGCGGCUCCCGAGCAGCAGAGAUAUGGAGCCAGACGGGGAGAUAAGGGAGUCCCGCAGCAGCCUUGGCUGGGCCGUGGGGAUCAGGCCCUUCCCAGCGGGCGGCACUGGCAGCCGAGCAGGCCUCACGCCCCCCUGACGGCCGGGGCGGCCGCGGCCCUUCGCGGAGCCGCCUCGGGCCGCUCCGUCGGGCCCCGCCGCCUCACUCCAAACGCGGGCCCGCAGCUCCCUCUGGCGGCGCCGGCCGGGAGGCCGAGCGGGGCCGCCGCCCUCACGGCCCGGCUGCUCCGGGGCUGCGCCGGGAGAGCUGCUGCGGGGCUUUAAACGUCUUUGCAGUGACAUUGUCAUCAGAGCCGGCAGGGAUCGCCCUUGAAGGACCGCGCUGACCUGCCCUUGGCAGAGCCCCGAGCGGCGUGAGACGCGCUCUGCACAACGAGCCCGCCGCCUUUUGGGAUAGCCCACAACGCCCAGGGUCUGUCUUGUAUCAGCCCUGCGUGGGCCCGAGGCGCCGGGAAUCUGUUCUCUGCCAGCUGAGCGGUCCCAUCAGCUGCUGGGGGCAAGUUAUAAGAACUUGUAAAGAUCGGAUCUUUCUCCUUCCGCACAGUCCUCCAAGAUAAAGUACAGUGAUUUUUAAAAGAGGCGUUCUUCAUUCUGAAGAGGAGCAGAAGAGUUUGUCCUGCAUGUUGCUCCAUGUCAGGGUGGCUCAGGUGCCCUUGUGAGAGCAGAGAUCACUGCUCUUUGCACUGGGCCACUCUGAGACUAGCACAAUUAACAGGACCAUCUGUGAAACAUUUUUCUCCUUCUGGGAUGGACUGUGGAAAGAGCAUGGAAGGUCUCCCAGCUCUUGAGAGAACCAGCCUGUACUCAUGCUGCAAAUGCUCCAUCCCCCACAAGUGAGAAGACAUUAACAUAAUGUUAUGGAUGCUCAGUCAAAAGCACUUCAGCAGAAGUCAGUGGAAAUGUUGACAUACUAUUGAGCAGGAGUGAAGGCUGAAGCAGCCAGCCUAGAAGAAAACAAAUGGGACCAUCCAGCACAUGUUUCACCAAAGCUUUCAGAUGUGGGUUGUGUGCCAAAAAAAGGCAUCUGAGGCUAUAUUCGAUACAGAUCAAAUAAAUGCA